UUACGGCCAUACUACGUUGAAACGCUAGUCCUUAUACGAUCUCCGAAGUUAAGCAACGUCGAGCCUUGUCAGUACCUAGAUGGGUGACCAAUUGGGAAUACCAGCUGCUGUAAG